CGGUGAUCCAGGUGGCGGGGCUGGUGCAGCGGCAGGGCGAGCGCGAGCCCUUCGUGCGGGUCAUCUUCACGCUGGGCACCUGCGCCCCCAUCCCCGGCUCCCAGGUGCUCUGCUGUGACACCGAGAAGGAGCUGCUCGAGGCGUUCGCCGAGUUCGUCCGCGUCGUCGACCCCGACAUCGUCACCGGCUACAACAUCCAGAACUUCGACCUGCCCUA